GUCUUCGGUCUCGGAUGCUGCAGCCCACAUGUAAAUUCCGCAGUGGCCAAAGCUCGAACUCAGGAGCGGGCACUCCAGCUGGAGCUCUUAUACCACUAGACCAAAGCAACUUGGUUAACAUGUUAAACUUAGACGUUUGAAUAGUGAAAAUUAAGAUUUACUAUUCUUAAGUUUCAAAUUUUCAGUCUUUUUAAUUAUAUAUCUUCUUACUAACUUCUUGUUUAUCAUUUUAAUCCUCACAGUAUUAUGCUUAUACAAGAAAUAUUAAUAAAAUUAAAAGAAAAUAUAAUACAAAACAACAUUAAACUGAAAAAACUUACUUUGAAAUCAACAAAUAAAAAGAAAAAGACUCAUUUAUCAUUAUUUUAACCCCAAACCUAUAUCCAAACUUGAUUUUAACCCCAAACCUAUAUCCAAACUUGAAUCAAAUGCAAAAGUAACCUAAAAGUCUAGUGAAAUUACAGCUCAGCCCCU
rnacentral:lncRNA from 1 species